CCUUUGCCGACCAGCGUUAUCUUGUAUUGUAUUCUUAAUAUUUAAAUGGCCGUAAUGAUCUGGGGUGGGUCAUGUAUUCGGGCCAACAACAGGUUAUAUUAGAGUGUAAAUUCAGUUUUUAUGCGUAUAUACUGGAAGAAGAGAAGAGAGAGAAAGAAGGAAUUUUUGUUGGGAGGUGGUAGGAAAGGAAAAAUGGGAAAGCGCAGGCCAGGGUUGAGUCGGGAAUCGAACCCGAGAUCUCCGGGAUGUGAGUCAGGCGCGCUACACACUGAGCCACCGGAGGCCCC